UACAGAGGGCCCAAGCGUUGUUCGGAUUCACUGGGCGUAAAGGGUGCGUAGGCGGUCGGGUAAGUCUGAUGUGAAAUCUCACAGCUUAACUGUGAAACUGCAUUGGAUACUAUCCGGCUCGAGGAAUGGAGGGGAGACUGGAAUACUUGGUGUAGCAGUGAAAUGCGUAGAUAUCAAGUGGAACACCAGUGGCGAAGGCGAGUCUCUGGACAUUUCCUGACGCUGAGGCUCGAAAGCCAGGGGAGCAAACGGG
rnacentral:rRNA from 1 species